AAAGGAAUAGACGGGACCCCGCACAAGCGGUGGAUCAUGUUGUUUAAUUCGAAGAUACGCGAAGAACCUUACCAGGUCUUGACAUACUCUGCAAAGGCUUAGAAAUAAGUAAAGAGGUUAACAGAGCUACAGGUGGUGCACGGUUGUCGUCAGCUCGUGUCGUGAGAUGUUGGGUUAAGUCCCGCAACGAGCGCAACCCCUAUCGUUAGUUACCAUCAUUCAGUUGGGGACUCUAGCGAGACUGCCAGUGAUAAACUGGAGGAAGGUGGGGAUGACGUCAAAUCAUCAUGCCCCUUAUGACCUGGGCUACAAACGUGAUACAAUGGCUGCAACAAAGAGAAGCGAGACCGCGAGGUGGAGCGAAUCUCAAAAAGGCAGUCUCAGUUCGGAUUGCAGUCUGCAACUCGACUGCAUGAAGCCGGAAUCGCUAGUAAUCGCGAAUCAGCAUGUCGCGGUGAAUACGUUCUCGGGGUUUGUACACACCGCCCGU
rnacentral:rRNA from 1 species